UCCUGGAUUAAAAAAGGAAUUCGUCACCUCUCUAGGACUUGCUGGGGGUGCCACUAUGAAAGACACAGGUCGGGGCAUCCUCAAACGAGCCAUGAGAAAUGAUCUGGCUCUAAAAGUAACCUGGAGUGGUGUAAAUGGAAAGCUGGCCUUUGAAAGGCUUCAUCUAAAAGCGGUGGUAGUGGAAGCUGUGAGAAGAAACCCCGCCUGCUCUUUAGUCACUGAUAAUGAGAUUGCAAAAGCAAUUAAAAAGUGGUUACUGGGCUGGGGAUAGAGACGGCGGGAGGAGGAAGCACCAGGACUUAGCCAGGACCAAGCCAGGACCCAGCCAGAACCCAGCCAGCACCCAGCCAGGAGCGCAUUGAAUGGAAGGAGGCUAUAGUAAUAGAACUGUAUAUAUGUUCUAUGAUAUGUUCUAUAACAUGUUUAUAACUGUUGUCUAUUAUACAACAGUUAAUUUCCUCACUUUGGCACACUUUGAAAAAAAGAUGUUGGAUAGAUGUAAUUUCUCAUUUGUAGCCUGCUUGUUGUGUUUUUUUUGCCUGCAUUCUACUUUUAACUGAUCUUUGUGUGCCUGUCAGACAUUUCCAGGGCCAUAUGCAAUUAAUAAAAAAAAAUGAAAUGA